GGAUUCGUAACCUCAGGUCGUCGCUCGAAAAUAAUGUUUCCCACUCUAUUGACUUUGAGGAAACCGUAUUUAACUCUGAAAUGGCCCAGCUGAAAGACAGCAUGAAGCUUGUCCAGGAAAGACUUAUGAAAGAAAUGCAAGAAGAGGAGCUCCUCAGUGUGCGCAGGGGUCUUCAGUCUCUCUUUAUGGCCGGAGCCCGGACUUUCUAAAGACUCUAGAAAAGGAAAGUCAUCGGGAAGGUGAUUUGUUUGGCCUUUGAAUUUCAGUUCUCACAGUUGCUAUUUUCAUGUUUUUGUGCCUUUUUAUUGUUUACGCUAUUAGUUUUGAUAAAAAAUGCAUGGUUUUAAAA